GUGCAGCAGUCGCGAAACCUUCGCAAUGCGGGAAACCGCGACGAGGGGACUCCCAGUGCCUACGCUCAGCGUAGGCUGUUCCCGAGCCUAGAAAGCUCGGGGAGUAAGGGCUGGGUAAGACGGGUGCCAGCCGCCGCGGUAAUACCCGCAGCCCGAGUGGUGGCCACUAUUAUUGGGCCUAAAGCGUCCGUAGCCGGCCCGGUAAAUGCCUGGGUAAAUCGUGAGGCCUAACCUCACGAAUUCCGGGUAGACUGCCGGGCUAGGGGACCGGAGGAGGGAGAGGGUACUCCGAGGGGUAGGGGUGAAAUCCUGUAAUCCCUGGAGGACCACCGGUGGCGAAGGCGCUCUCCUAGGACGGGUCCGACGGUGAGGGACGAAAGCCAGGGGAGCGAACCGGAUUAGAUACCCGGGUAGU
rnacentral:rRNA from 1 species